GUGGCACUAAACUAACUACACUGGCACAGAGAGCUCACUCACAGUUCACUAGGAUGAGAUGAAUGCUGUCACCACACCGUGUAGCAUGGUGUCACAUGCCCUGUGAAGACAUGUCAGUCUGUCUCUGUUAUAAGAGGAUUCAUGAGCAGGACCCUCUGAAUCCUUACUCAGCACAGAUUAGUGACAGGAGGAACACAAGGAGUGAUGCCGGGCAUUUCUAUUACAGGCAACACCUCACCCUGCUGCAGCAAGGCUGGGUCUGCAGAAAAAUGAACUCAGCAGCCAGCUCUCUGAGUGGGGUACGAGUACCAUGGUGGUCCCGAGGAAACAGUACAGAAGCCCAAGCCUGCUAGGCCUUGGGCAGCAAGGCAGAUGGAGAUGAAAUUGGAGAAGAGGUCCAGGUACCUGGUGGUGAAGACCAAAGCGAAAAGAAUCUGGCUCUUCCCAGAGAUGCCUGUGCAGG